rnacentral:rRNA from 1 species
UACGUAGGCAGCAAGGCGUUGUUCGGAGUUACUGGGCGUAAAGGGUGCGUAGGCGGUUGUUUAAGUUUGGUGUGAAAUCUCCCGGCUCAACUGGGAGGGUGCGCCGAAUACUGAAUGACUAGAGUGCGGGAGAGGAGAGUGGAAUUCCUGGUGUAGGCGGUGAAAUGCGUAGAUAUCAGGAGGAACACCGGUGGUGUAGACGGCGUCUCUGGACCGUAACUGACGCUGAGGCACGAAAGCGUGGGUAGCAAACAGG